rnacentral:rRNA from 1 species
UGCGAACGGGUGAGUAACGCGUAGGUAACCUGCCUACUAGCGGGGGAUAACUAUUGGAAACGAUAGCUAAUACCGCAUAACAUUGUUUAACACAUGUUUCAUGCUUGAAAGAUGCAAAUGCAUCACUAGUAGAUGGACCUGCGUUGUAUUAGCUAGUUGGGGGGGUAACGGCCUACCAAGGCGACGAUACAUAGCCGACCUGAGAGGGUGAUCGGCCACACUGGGACUGAAACACGGCCCAAACUCCUACGGGAGGCAGCAGUAGGGAAUCUUCCGCAAUGGGGGCAACCCUGACCGAACAACCCCGCGUGAGUGAAGAAGGUUUUCGGAUCGUAAAGCUCUGUUGUAAGAGAAAAACGUGUGUGAGAGUGGAAAGUUCACACAGUGACGGUAACUUACCAGAAAGGGACGGCUAACUACGUGCCAGCAGCCGCGGUAAUACGUAGGUCCCGAGCGUUGUCCGGAUUUAUUGGGCGUAAAGCGAGCGCAGGCGGUUUUAUAAGUCUGAAGUUAAAGGCAGUGGCUUAACCAUUGUUCGCUUUGGAAACUGUUAAACUUGAGUGCAGAAGGGGAGAGUGGAAUUCCAUGUGUAGCGGUGAAAUGCGUAGAUAUAUGGAGGAACACCGGUGGCGAAAGCGGCUCUCUGGUCUGUAACUGACGCUGAGAGCUCGAAAGCGUGGGGAGCAAACAGGAUUAGAUACCCUGGUAGUCCACGCCGUAAACGAUGAGUGCUAGGUGUUAGGCCCUUUCCGGGGCUUAGUGCCGCAGCUAACGCAUUAAGCACUCCGCCUGGGGAGUACGACCGCAAGGUUGAAACUCAAAAGGAAUUGACGGGGGCCCCGCACACAGCGG